CGACUGCCGACAAGAGAAGAUCUUGCGUAUAAUUUAGGUUUCGUAGAUUCAAGGAUACAUUCAGGACACAUUUAUCGAGCAUCAAAUAAUAAACAAUCUUACACAUAAUUAUCUCUUUAGAUUUACAAAUGAAAACCUAACACAAACACUGAAACAUACCCAAAAUAAAUACAAUUAAAUGUGCCAAACUGUUGCUAUUUGACUGACCAUCACUGUAUGUGCAGCCGUAUUUUUUUUU
rnacentral:lncRNA from 1 species